rnacentral:lncRNA from 1 species
UGAGGGAAGCUAAUUGGUGGGGCUAUGAGCUGAGUGCUUUGCCUCACUCUAUCCCAUGUCCCCUGGGAAGGUCUGAGACUAGGGCCAUAUAAGCGGCCCUAACAGGGUCCUCCCUGAGUCUCGGGGAGGUGAGUUCCCAGAGAACGGGUCUCCGCGCCCCCCCCACCCCCCCAGGGCAGACUGGGCAGGAGAUGCCACGGACCCCGCCUUCUGGGAGGGGCCUGGCAGAUGCCUCCUUAGCCAGAGCUUGGAAAAAUAAAAAGCAGGGACACCUGGGUGGCUCAGUCGGUUAAGCCUACGACUUUGGCUCA